rnacentral:lncRNA from 1 species
GUUCAACUUCGGGACCCUGACACAUGUUCCUACCCAGUGGAUUUUGCAAAGUUCACCUUUUCAGUUCUUCUAGGGGCAGCAGAGCUUCUUCAACCCCACUGCAAGUUGACUGACACCCUUCAAUACUCUCUUGACCCUACAGAUAAUGCUCAUCAAUUCCUCUAUGCCACAGAACUGUAACACUUAGAAGACUCUGUGGAAUACGAACACUUCUCUGAUUUAUCCUCAUGAAAUUGUUUUCCUGAUGAAAGGAGUGUUCUUCAGAAGAAUACAGAAUGGAUAUCUCUUUGUUGGAGAACAACCGUAUUUUUGUUUUAAAAUGAUAUUAAAAUAAAUACAUUUACUUCAAGUAAGGAUUAUUGUUUCAGUUCAUAGUAGUUUUCUAUGAUAUGGAGGUGGGGGGCA